rnacentral:pre_miRNA from 1 species
AAUGGAAAUGCUGGUUCAUAUGGUAACUUUUAUGUUUAACAUUUUGAGGAACUGCUAAGCUGUUUCCCAAAGCAGCUGCAUCAUUUUGCACUCCCACAAAGCAAU